rnacentral:rRNA from 1 species
GACGAACGCUGGCGGCGUGCCUAAUACAUGCAAGUCGAGCGCAGGAAGCUGACGGAACUCUUCGGAGAGAAGGCAGUGGAAUGAGCGGCGGACGGGUGAGUAACACGUAAGGAACCUGCCUCAAGGAUUGGGAUAACUCCGAGAAAUCGGAGCUAAUACCGGAUAGUUCAACGGACCGCAUGGUACGCUGAUGAAAGGCGCUUCGGCGUCACCUUGAGAUGGCCUUGCGGUGCAUUAGCUAGUUGGUGGGGUAACGGCCCACCAAGGCGACGAUGCAUAGCCGACCUGAGAGCGUGAUCGGCCACACUGGGACUGAGACACGGCCCAGACUCCUACGGGAGGCAGCAGUAGGGAAUCUUCCACAAUGGACGAAAGUCUGAUGUAGCAACGCCGCGUGAGUGAUGAAGGUUUUCGGAUCGUAAAACUCUGUUGUAAGGGAAGAACACGUACGAGAGGGAAUGCUCGUACCUUGACGGUACCUUACGAGAAAGCCACGGCUAACUACGUGCCAGCCGCCGCGGUAA